UAUUGGUCAAAUAUCGGUGAUAUAUCGGCCAAAUAUCGGUGAUAUAUUGGUUAUAUUGGUCAAUAUCGCCUAUAAUACGGGUACCGAUAUUCUGAUCAAUAUUUGACACCAAUAUUUUACAUGGAGCUAAGCGGCAAUUACCAUUAGGGAUGACAGUGAUGCAAACUGCAAAAGCCUUAUAUGCAAAGGCAUUGCUAUAUUUGGAUGACGGGUAUGAAAUUAGGGGAAACUCAUGACAGAAAUGAUGGAAAUGGCUGGGGUUGAAAAGGAAGACUUUGAGUUAACUUAAAUGUUUAAGAAGCCAUCUUGAAGUAAUACAAGAAGACUUUUUUUUACCAAAGCCGAUAUGAAAUAACGUUUCUGAAAUUUGUCAAGAAGCACGAUCCUGGUGAUAGAUACCAUCUUCUCAGAGACCAUUUGUUAAUUGUAUCUGAACUUAAAGCAAAUUUAUAUGAAUUCCAAAAGUUCAAUAGAUAAUCUGGUGGCGAGGUGGAAAAGAAUUGAUGUUCGAGACUUGGAGCUGUGAAAGUACUAUGGUAGAGUUUUGGUUGCUUCUAUUAGUGGGAGAGGUUUAGAUCAGUAAUUUCAUGCAGUUCUUAAUGUUGGUAUAACGAUGAUUAAACAAGCACUGGGACUAGAGAUGUGGAUAAUCCUCAAUCCCAAUCUGAAUUAACAUGGAACCGUAUGGAACUAUCGGUGAUGUUGGAACAUGUGCAGUUUCACGUGGCUCCAACUGAUGUUGAUCCCGGGGCUGGACUUCAAUGGUUAUCAAUUCGUAGAAACUCCCACAAAGUAAAUCACACUGGGGCUGGACUUCAAUGGUUACUAUUAAAACGACAAAUGUAGUUUAUA
rnacentral:lncRNA from 1 species